rnacentral:rRNA from 1 species
GAUGAACGCUGGCGGCGUGCCUAAUACAUGCAAGUCGAGCGAACGGACGAGAAGCUUGCUUCUCUGAUGUUAGCGGCGGACGGGUGAGUAACACGUGGAUAACCUACCUAUAAGACUGGGAUCACUUCGGGAAACCGGAGCUAAUACCGGAUGAUAUUUUGAACCGCAUGGUUCAAAAGUGAAAGACGGUCUUGCUGUCACUUAUAGCUGCAUCCGGGCUGCAUUAGCUAGUUGGUAAGGUAACGGCUUACCAAGGCAACGAUGCAUAGCCGACGUGAGAGGGGGAUCGGCCACACUGGAGCUGAGCCACGGUCCAGGCUCCUACGGGAGGGAGCAGUAGGGAAUCUUCCGCAGUGGGCGAGAGCCUGACGGAGCAGCGCGGCGUGAGUGAUGAAGGUCUUCGGAUCGUAAAACUCUGUUAUUAGGGAAGAACAUAUGUGUAAGUAACUGUGCACAUCGUGACGGUACCUAGUCAGAAAGCCACGGCUAACUACGUG